GAUAAAUAACCUAUGAUAACCUAUAUUAGUCUACUAUAGCGCGAGUCGGCUUGGUUGGUUGCUGUCUCUCCCUCCCUCCUCCUCCCCAUGUCACUUGCUCAGAGUACAGACGCUCCCCGCCUGCUAGAGCGGCGCCUCUCCCUCGUGAUUUAUUAGCUCCGGUUAAUAAAGUUGCUUUAACAAAUAAAAAUAAACUUUUCUGCUGCGUUCUACACUUGGAUCGGAUCUGGAUCCAACCAGGUCUCUACGAAAUGGGUCUAGUUGUCCUCGAUUCCAUUUGGAACGGGUCUCUAUAUUUAAAAAUAAAAAAAUAAUAAUUAUGCGCAUCGGGUCCGGGUGGGAAAUCCCCAGGUACAUGUCGGAACAGGUCCAACUUUUUGGAACCCAGUCUCUGUAUCACAACACAUGUUCUAUGGGGAUCACCAGUCUUUGUCUGUUUGGUACAAAUACAACAUGUAGCACCUCAGAGCCCAACUGCUAGAGCGGACAAGCAGGUACUGACCCUGUGGUUUCAUCCAAGUAGAAAGCUACAAUAAAAAUAGUGUUCAACAUCAGUAGCAUCAAGCACAAGGGCUGCCUGGCCACAAAUUUCUGCAACACCACAUCCACUUCUAGCAUCCUGGGAGUCGGCUACAACAUCUCACAGACCUGCUCCAGCACCAAUCUGCAACGGGGUUGGCUCCGUACAACUACCUCUCACAGUGGCCCUUGGUGCAGCCCUGGUGGCCAUCUGGAGCACCUUAGCCUAGACAAACCAUUCACAAUAAGGAUACCUCCUCCAUAGGUUUCCAUGUGUUGUUAUAGUUCUUAAAUACAUAAAAUGUACUAAAACAAGUAAUAUUCUGAAAAAGACAGCAAGGUUUAUGCAGGCUAGUUUCACUAAGCUUUAGUUCUGUGUAUUCCGGGUUUCCAAGGUGGUUACGGGUGCACCUCAGCCACGCUCAAGGUACUAAACAAUAUAACCGCCAUCGAUAAAAGACAGUACUAUGUCUUCAUCGACCUGGCCAAGGCUGUCGACUCUG